rnacentral:misc_RNA from 1 species
CUUCUGCUGCUGCUGCUGCUUCUAGUUCUACGAUUAUUGUUUCUGCUUCACCUUCAGCAACUCUCUCAAGAAAAACGAAGCAUGGUAUUAAAGGAAGAUUAGCUAUGAGAAUUAGAGCUUAUGAUUUUUACAAGUAUGACUCUGCAAGUAACUCCGGUGAUUCCAAGCCCCCCAAUGGAACUCCGUCAAAGACCAGGAGAGAAAUUCUAUUGGAGUACGUUAAAAAUGUGCAGCCAGAGUUUAUGGAGCUAUUUGUCAAAAGGGCACCACAGCAGGUUUUGAAAAAUUCCCCCUUCUUGGUGCCAUUUGAUGUGUUCUUACAGAUCAAUCUAUCUUGUUUACUUUAAAAUUUUGGUUGGGUGGAAAAUUGGAUAUAGAACAUCUAUAUUUGAAAUUAUUUGUUCAGGUAGUUGAUGCAAUGCGACAAACAGUGACGAAUAUGAUUGGUACACUACCCUCGCAAUUUUUUGCUGUAACUGUUACCACUGUAGCUGAAAAUCUUGCACAGCUCAUGUACAGUGUUAUGAUGACUGGUUAUAUGUUUAAGAAUGCACAGAACCGCUUGGAAUUGCAACAAAGUUUGGAGCAAGUUGCUCUACCUGAUGUGCAAGAUAAAAAGGAUUUGCCAGAUUAUGCACCGGCUACACAGAAGAAUCUGUCUGGUGAAGUUAUUAGGUGGAAUAAUGUUUCUGGUCCUGAGAAAAUAGAUGCUAAAAAGUAUAUUGAGUUACUUGAAGCAGAAAUUGAAGAACUCAAUCAUCAAGUUGGUAGAAAAUCUGCAAAUGGACAGAAUGAGUUGUUAGAAUAUCUCAAGUCUCUUGAGCCACAAAAUCUGAAGGAGUUGACAAGUAGUGCUGGAGAGGAUGUCAUGCUUGCCAUGAACACCUUUAUUAAGCGGCUCUUAGCUGUUGCAAAUCCAGAAGAAAUGAAGACAAGUAUAACAGAGACUAGUGCACCAGAACUUGCCAAACUGCUUUAUUGGCUGAUGGUGGUUGGGUACAGUAUUCGCAACAUUGAAGUUCGUUUUGAUAUGGAUCGGGUACUUGGGACACCUCCGAAGCUUGCAGAAUUACCUCUGGGAGAAAACAUUUGAUCACUUGCACUGAAGUAUCGACAAUUGAUGUCAGGACAAGGGUAGAGUGCAAUAAUUUAGUGCUGGAUUUACUAUGUAACUAAGCUGGUGCAGUUUUGUGUUCCACAUGGAUUGAAGCAGCAGAAGGCUUAUUGCAGGGAUGAGCUGCCGCAAAGUAGGUAUUUUUGGAUGCUGCUGCUCUUUCUUAAGUAUUGCAAAACCUUCAAGAAAUUGUUGGUAGAAAAGAUGAUUGUCAUCUCCUGAUAGGUAAAGAUUCUUGAUAUAUUGUCUCAAAUUUGAUGUAUUCUUGAUUCCUGAUCUCUCUUUUUGGUUUGAGAUGCAGGACAUGAUGAAUCUUGAACUAAUUAAUCAACUGUGUUUUUCUAAGGUAACGUAAUUGCGGAAGUCGCAAAAGGAUAAAAAAAUCCAAAUGGAAAACGUCCUCGGGGUUGGUUCGAGCUAAAAGAAAUGAAUAAAGGUUGACUUUUUAGCUAAUAAUAAUAAUAAUAAAAAUAACUGUGAUUAGGAGCGACAUUUGCUCUUAUAAAUGUGUUUAUUACUGCGGUUUUUCUUAUUUUAGUGAGGCUGAGGGGAAAACUUUGCAAUAAAACUUGGUGAAUGAUAUCCAAAUCUUUUGUGUUCUAGGCCAAACAUGAGUACCACUAUUUAUUUUCUUGCAUUUGUUGCUGCCAUAUAAAAUUAAUUUCAUUUUGUUAAGGA